CGAUUCUCUAUACUUGCUUUGUCACAUGAACUGAUAUCGAAUUUUAGCAACCAGGAAAUGGCAGAACGAUUUCUGCAUAGUCCAUCAUUAAGCUAACAAGGGGUAGGACUGUGCUUUUUGACAUUUUCUUGAAUAAAAGAGUGCAUGGAGGGUGGAGGAAUUGACUGACAAAUCUAUGGAUAUAGCAGCGUAUAGCCUAAUUUCGUCUGUCAAACAGGUAGGCCUACCUCUUAUUUCUUAAAUAGGAAGAAAUAUGCUACAAAACAAAGCCAUCUUGUUGUUAGUGAAGUCUAAUUAAUAAAAGGAAGAUGGUUGGAGUCAAUUAUGCCUACUCGAAUUUGCUUACUUUACGCACCAUGAGCUGUCCAUUUCCGAAUCAUUGUGCCGCCGCUGCUGCUUCAAUUUUCAGCACCACAAUGUAAAUUACUCAAAUCUGGCUUAUUGUGAGGUCAAUAACUCUGUUGACCUCUUGUCCUCCUUAUCAGCUUUGCGCUCUCCUUCUCCAACUGAACAGAACAUAGGCUAUAGGCUAGUCCGUGUGGAAUAUAGUGAUUUUUUGGGGACUAGGCCUAAUAAAAAAGUAUUUUCGGAAGCCUUUGACUCUCUUCCUGAAUUGACACUAGGCCUACGCAGCACAGCCAUUAGUUAGGCAGCACACAAAAAAGUUUUGGAUCAGCAAGAGCAGAGCAGGCCGGGGCUCAGGGUUGGAAUAUCCAUUGCAGUGUGUAAUGUAGCCUAGUUUUAUUUACAUCAUCCCAGCAUUUAUUGGGGUGGCAGGUAGCCUAGCGGUUAGAGUUUUGGGCCAGUAACCGAAAGGUUGCUGGAUCAAAUCCAAGAGCUGACAAGGUAAAAAUCUGUCGUUCUGCCACUGAACAAGGCAGUUAACCCACUGUUCCCUGGUAGGCCGUCAUUGUAAAUAAUAAUUUGUUCUUAACUGACUUGCCUAGUUAAAUAAAUAUAUUUUUAGAUAUAUAACUUUGCUCAGUUCUUCUCCGAGCAUGCACUUCGUAGCCUAUAGCAUAUAGGUUACGGAUCAUUUGAUUGAACCACACUAAAUCGGCUAUAGGCGCACGUAAUGGGGGGCGGCAUUGGGCACACAUCGAUCAGUGGGGGCUCCUCAGAGGAGGAAAUGGAGGACCAUCCUCUUCAGUGAAUUUCGGAAAAAUAAAAAUAGUGAAACAUUAAAAAAGUUAGCAUUUUUCAGAUAAAACUAUACUAAAUAUCAUCGAUAUAUAGCCUAAUAAACAACUAAUUCUAAAACACAGAAAUAUUUAAAUGUCAUCAAUUACAAAUUAUAUGACCCUUCCCUGGACUAAAAUGUAAAAAGCAUGAACCUCCUCCAUUUUCCUCCAGGUAACCAUUCUGUACAUUUUGAUCCAUCCCUAAGUUAGUUGUGCAAGACAAUUUAUAGAUCAGGGAUGGGCAACUCCAGUCCUCAGGGUCGGAGUGCUGUCACACUUUUUCCCCAUCCCUAGCAAAUACAAACUGAAGAUCACAAUUAGUUGAUUGGAGUCAAGUGUGUUAGCUGGGGCUGGGGAAAAAGUGGGACACCAAAUCAGGCCCCCAAGGAUUGAAGUUGCCAAUCCCUGUCAUAGAUCAAAGGAAAAGUAGCAAUACUUUCUUUUAAAUGUGUGCAUGCUUUUCUACUCCGACCAUAGAACAGUUGAUUCAAAGGGGGUGUGGCAGAUAUCAAAACUCUUCCGCGGUAGGGUACACUUGUGCUUCCUCGCCAAAAGGAGACUAUUGAGGAGCGGAGGACCAUCUUCCAUUUGCCUACUAACGAAUUGACACACUCGACCGAGAAACACUAUUUUCACGCCACUGUGUAGCAAGUUAGGAGAACUUACGGAACAGGUUAGGAUAAUUAACAUAGUAGGUUAUGAAAAUCACUUAUAAUCGAAGUGGAGUGAAAAGUGUCCCCCCUCCUUGACCAUUCGACCACUUAUUGGCUUCUGGGUCACGGAGGGGAGGACAGACUUUUGCCCAAAAGAGAAAACCCCUCUUGAGUAUUCUCCCCUCCUUGAUAACCUACUUCAGCAGAGGACGCACAAGAAUAUCCUCUCAGCAGCUAGCAUGGAAAUGUUUUAAAGAGCAACUGCUCCUAAAAAAUAACUUCUCAUUUGAACAUCUUGGCCAUGUUCUGUUAUAAUCUCCACCCUGCACAGCCAGAAGAGGACUGGCCACCCCACAUAUGCUCUCUCUAAUUCUCUCUUUCUCUCUCUCGGAGUACCUGAGCCCUAGGACCAUGCCCCAGGACUACCUGACAUGAUGACUCCUUGCUGUCCCCAGUCCACCUGGCCGUGCUGCUGCUCCAGUUUCAACUGUUCUGCCUUAUUAUUAUUCGACCAUGCUGGUCAUUUAUGGACAUUUUAACAUCUGGGCCAUGUUCUGUUAUAAUCUCCACCCGGCACAGCCAGAAGAGGACUGGUCACCCCACAUAGCCUGGUUCCUCUCUAGGUUUCUUCCUAGGUUUUGGCCUUUCUAGGGAGUUUUUCCUAGCCACCGUGCUUCUACACCUGCAUUGCUUGCUGUUUGGGGUUUUAGGCUGGGUUUCUGUACAGCACUUUGAGAUAUCAGCUGAUGUACGAAGGGCUAUAUAAAUACAUUUGAUUUGAUUUGAUUUAGAAAAUGUGUCAUCGAUUUGAGUCAAACAUUUAUUCUACUGGCAAAAUUGAGUACAAAGUGUAAAUAGGAUAAUUUUUGUCAUAAAGUCAGUCUUGUCCAAAACUGA